CUAGACUGUCCAGGCUUAAGAAUGGCAUCUUUAGUAACAUUGAGAACAGCAAUAAUAUGAUAAAGUCCAUCAGGCCCAUCUUCACCCCUUACUCCCAGGUGAUCCCGUAUCACAAAUCCUGAGCCUUUUGAUGUCUCUGUGGUGCCAUCCAGAUCACUUCUAGUCCUUCCCAAGAGCCUCACUGAUCUUCUCAAUCAGGCUCAAGGUAAAGCUUCCCUGAGGAUGUUGCCAUGCUGCAGAUCCUGAAGGUGAAGGACAAAUUGGUGCUCCCUACCCCACCCCUCUCCAGAACUUUGAAGAAGGGGCGACAAAAUACACAAAGGCUUCAAGGCAGGCAGAUACCAAACUUCUGGAAGGCCUCGUAGCCAAAGGAGAGAGGAGCUCUUGGGUUUAUG